AGGUAUAAAUAGUAUAUAUAUAAAGUAGUAUGAAAGAAUGUUUUCAAAAAUCUUAACAUGCAACGUGUAACUGGCAACACAGCAGUGUUGUUCAUGCUUAACCGUGGAAUGAAAUCAGAUCAUUUUAUAAAGUAUUGACAGGCUCUACUUGACCUUCCUGCAAUGUUGUUAAAAGAACCUCUAACUACAAGCCAACAUAAAGUAUUUUUUUUAAGCAGUAUGUUCAAAGAAGAACUCGCCUUCCACUUUACCCACACUUUUGAUAAAUUAUACUUCAUAAUUUCUUUAAACUAUUUUAGAAAAUUGUUUUA